GCUUAAAACUAGGCGGCACUUUUUAAAGAAAAAAAAAAAGUGCCCCCAUAGUUUGAGUA
rnacentral:miRNA from 1 species